GUGCCAGCCGCCGCGGUAAUACGUAGGCAGCGAGCGUUGUUCGGAGUUACUGGGCGUAAAGGGUGUGUAGGCGGUUCACUAAGUUCGGCGUGAAAUCUCCCGGCUUAACUGGGAGGGUGCGUUGAAAACUGGUGGGCUUGAGUAUGGGAGAGGUAAGCGGAAUUCCUGGUGUAGCGGUGAAAUGCGUAGAUAUCAGGAGGAACACCUGUGGUGUAGACAGCUUACUGGACCAUCACUGACGCUGAGACACGAAAGCGUGGGUAGCAAACAGGAUUAGAAACCCCCGUAGUCC
rnacentral:rRNA from 1 species